AAUUUUUGUAUAUGAAAAACUUACAAAAAAAUUACGCCAUUAAAAAGUUUAAUAUUUUUUCUAACGAAAAGGUAAAAAAUCCAUUUUUGUUAUAUAAAUUUUAUACCAUCUGAAAGCCUAUUGUUUCCGCUGUAAAUAUUCAUAUCAACCAUGUCCGCACGACAUCUACGAAAAGAGCUAGAAUUUUUUGAACCCAAUCAGUUUUCAUCAAAAAAAAGCAAAAAUAUCAAUCUUUUUUAUCUUCUCAAGCCCUUAAGUAAAUUUUUUAAAAUUAAAAUAAAAAAACUAGACCGACUACUGCACUCUUGUACCAUUAUUUUAUUUGUUUGAAAUUUUUUUCUAUUUGCUAAAUGCUUGUUCAGCAUUCAACUCGGUCUGCUCAGAGAGCGAUAACUUAUUCUGAGUCCAUCGAUCGCGCUCUGAACAAGUUCAGAAUACGUUCAGAACGAAAAAAGAAAUUGAAGCUCUAAAUGUUGAGAGGUAAAAAAGAAAUACAAUUUUUAGAAAAAAAAAGUCGCUAUAAAGAAAUUGGUGAAAAGGUCGCUUGGAAUAAAAAGUCGUCGCUUGGUCGCUAAGGCAUAAAAAAGGGCUUCAUGUAACUCAGCGAAAUUCGUUUCGUCUUACGUUUAUUUCUUAUUGCAGUUUGAGAGCGGUUUGUAGGUUUUACAUACUCUCAAACUGUAAUUGAAAUAUAAAAUGUCAAAAUGAUAAUUUGAUUUUUUUUUAUUCUGUGUUGUGUUUCGUACCAGUAAAUUACCAAGAAUUUGGAAAAUGUCUGUUACGCCGAGCCAACUAAAAACUUUAAUUAAUUUCAUGGAGGAGCACCCCGAUUUGGAAAAGGGGUAUAAACCGAUUUCGCUGGAAGGGAAAGCCCAUUUGAACAAAUUAUGGGCUCAACUGGCUGAGAUGCCUAAUGCCCAUGGGUUGCCCACCAAAAAUGUUAACGCAUGGCGAAAGGUGUGGGCCGAUUACAAAUACCGCACAG